AUUGAACGCUGGCGGCAGGCCUAACACAUGCAAGUCGAGCGGAUGAAGGGAGCUUGCUCCUGGAUUCAGCGGCGGACGGGUGAGUAAUGCCUAGGAAUCUGCCUGGUAGUGGGGGCUAACGUCCGGAAACGGGCGCUAAUACCGCAUACGUCCUGAGGGGGAAAGUGGGGGAUCUUCGGACCUCACGCUAUCAGAUGAGCCUAGGUCGGAUUAGCUAGUUGGUGGGGUAAAGGCCUACCAAGGCGACGAUCCGUAACUGGUCUGAGAGGAUGAUCAGUCACACUGGAACUGAGACACGGUCCAGACUCCUACGGGAGGCAGCAGUGGGGAAUAUUGGACAAUGGGCGAAAGCCUGAUCCAGCCAUGCCGCGUGUGUGAAGAAGGUCUUCGGAUUGUAAAGCACUUUAAGUUGGGAGGAAGGGCAGUAAGUUAAUACCUUGCUGUUUUGACGUUACCAACAGAAUAAGCACCGGCUAACUUCGUG
rnacentral:rRNA from 1 species